GCCCCGAUCGUCCAGCCCGGCCAAGGACACCGGCCUUUCAAGCCGGUAACGCGGGUUCAAAUCCCGCUCGGGGCA
rnacentral:tRNA from 1 species